AAUCUCCAACAUCGUGAUCAACGACGAAGUGGGGGCUUCCAUAAACGCAGCCGUGGACAGCAUCCACCGCGCCAACGAGCUGGCUGCCCAAGGGAAACUGUUGGAGGCCUACCGCGAGUCGCUGCGAGCGCACGCAGCUGCUGAAAGCGCUUUUAUGGAGCCCAGUCUACUGGCGUUAUUGUACUUCCCUGAUGAUCAGAAAUACGCGAUCUACAUCCCGCUGUUCCUGCCGAUCAUGUUCCCGGUUGUGCUGUCUCUGAAGAACCUGCUGCUCUGGCUGCGCGGCAAGCCUUCGAAGAUCAAGACCGACUAGAGUGCAUGCUACUAAUUUAAUUAUAGAGUUGUGAAUACAUUUAUUUGUUAGGGAAUUUGUGUAUUUAUUUAUCCUUUAGAAUCAGGGGUACCGCAUUGACACUCAUGUCAAGAUCUUAUUUGACAGUGACGUUUACCUGUAGGCCUCGGAUGCGCACCACGAUAUCGGGACUAAUCUCACCUCUCGUUCCCACCGCUGCAACUCCUGUGUAGCCAGGAUCUACAGCUUGGCCGCCAAUAAACUUUUAUUGAUGCACUUUAUCGAUAUUUAGCCUAUACAUUUGUCAUCUAAUUGUCGAUUAGAUUUUAUCCAGGCACUCAUUCUUGCCCGGCUGGUGAGUGCAAAUACGGAAGUCAUUCUACCACUUCUAAUUGGCGCCACUAGCGCGCGACCAUACUCGACAGUGGCGCCAACUGGCGA